rnacentral:rRNA from 1 species
UGAGUGCUUGCACUUGGAUGGACUGAGUGGCGGACGGGUGAGUAACGCGUGGGUAACCUGCCUUAUACAGGGGGAUAACAGUUGGAAACGACUGCUAAUACCGCAUAAGCGCACGGUAUCGCAUGAUACAGUGUGAAAAACUCCGGUGGUGUGAGAUGGACCCGCGUCUGAUUAGCUGGUUGGUGAGGUAACGGCCCACCAAGGCAACGAUCAGUAGCCGGCCUGAGAGGGUGAACGGCCACAUUGGAACUGAGACACGGUCCAAACUCC